CCCCCUCUAUGUAUAUAAAGAUGGCCACGUUAGCCAACGGCCAGGCAGAGAACCCCAGCCUCCCCAGCAGCCACGCCAGCCCCAACCCCAACGGGCACAUGAACGGAUUAAACCACAGUCCGGGGAACCCGUCCACCAUUCCCAUGAAGGACCACGAUGCUAUCAAGCUCUUCAUCGGGCAGAUCCCCCGCAACCUGGACGAGAAGGACCUCAAGCCCCUCUUCGAGGAGUUCGGCAAGAUCUACGAACUGACCGUGCUAAAGGACAGGUUCACGGGCAUGCACAAAGGUUGUGCCUUCCUAACAUACUGUGAAAGGGAGUCCGCUCUUAAAGCCCAGAGUGCAUUGCAUGAACAGAAGACGCUGCCAGGGAUGAACAGACCGAUCCAGGUGAAACCAGCGGACAGCGAGAGCCGAGGAGAAGACAGAAAACUCUUUGUGGGCAUGCUCAACAAACAGCAGUCAGAAGACGACGUGCGCAGGUUAUUUGAGGCCUUCGGGAACAUCGAGGAAUGCACGAUCCUUCGGGGCCCAGAUGGCAACAGCAAAGGUUGUGCAUUUGUGAAAUAUUCCUCGCACGCGGAAGCCCAGGCGGCCAUCAACGCCUUGCACGGGAGCCAGACAAUGCCGGGGGCCUCGUCGAGUCUGGUGGUCAAGUUUGCAGACACGGACAAGGAGCGCACCAUGAGGCGCAUGCAGCAAAUGGCCGGGCAGAUGGGCAUGUUCAACCCCAUGGCGAUCCAGUUCGGAGCAUACGGCGCCUAUGCACAGGCACUGAUGCAGCAGCAAGCAGCCAUCAUGGCGUCCGUGGCCCAAGGCGGGUACCUAAACCCUAUGGCAGCUUUCGCGGCGGCGCAAAUGCAGCAGAUGGCAGCCCUGAACAUGAACGGCCUUGCCGCCACACCCAUGACGCCCACCUCAGGUGGCAGCACGCCUCCGGGCAUCACCGCGUCAGCCGUGCCUAGCAUCCCUUCUCCUAUUGGGGUAAACGGUUUCACUGGCCUACCGCCGCAAGCUAAUGGGCAGCCCGCUGCAGAAGCUGUCUUUGCCAACGGCAUCCAUCCUUACCCAGCACAGAGUCCGACCGCAGCCGACCCCUUGCAGCAAGCCUACGCCGGAGUGCAGCAGUAUGCAGGUCCCGCUUACCCUGCUGCCUACGGCCAGAUCAGCCAAGCCUUUCCACAGCCGCCUCCCAUGAUCCCACAGCAACAGAGAGAAGGACCCGAGGGCUGCAACCUGUUUAUCUACCAUCUGCCCCAGGAGUUUGGGGACGCAGAGCUGAUGCAGAUGUUCCUGCCAUUCGGUAAUGUCAUCUCCUCGAAAGUGUUUGUGGAUCGGGCGACAAACCAAAGUAAAUGCUUUGGUUUUGUGAGUUUUGACAAUCCUGCCAGCGCCCAAGCUGCCAUCCAGGCCAUGAACGGCUUCCAGAUUGGCAUGAAGAGGCUGAAAGUGCAACUGAAGAGGCCGAAGGAUGCUAACCGCCCCUACUGAAGCAUGGUGGGAAACACUGGAUAAGCAAGGUCUAGCACAGAGCCAGUCAAAUCCACCACAGUCUCGCGCUGAGCUAGGAAAAAGGGUUCACGUAAUGACAGGAAAGUGGAGAGAAUACAGUCCCCCAGUCCGGCAUCAGCUGAAUGGGCCGCAUUUAGAGAAAUAUACAUAUAUAUAUAUUAAAUAAAUAUAUAUAGGAACGAGAACUCGUUGGAUUACACCUUUUAACAUAUCAGCAACUAUCAGCCAAGCUGAAGACUUCAGAUUUACUCUCUUUCUGAUUGUUGAGAACUGUAAAACAUUUCUUCGCGAAACGUCACCGUCAGCUGGGUCCGAAGGACAAUGCUUGAAAACAACAACAACAACAAAAAGUAUAACAACCAAUCACAAGAGCAAGAUCGACUAGGAUUUCUGCAGAGACACUGAUGUCACCGCAGCGACUUUUCUCCAAACAGGAAAUGCAAACCUUGAUACUGACAAAAAAAAAAAAGGAGUGCCUGUUUGCCACCAAGGAUGCAGUUGCUAUGGAGAACUCAUAGCACCUGUCACUAGGAGCAUCUCUCUGUCAUUCCUUAGCUAUUAUAGGGACCAAAGGACAUAACUUUUUAUCGCAAAACUUGUAGCUGUAUGUAAAUUACAGAAGUUCUUUCCUUUUUUCUCGAGCUGUUCCUAUAACAGUUUUUGAGAGCAAUUAUAUGAAAUAUGUAAAAAUUGAAAAAAAAUGCUUAAAAACGCUUUUAACAAAUGGCAAGAUAAUAGUUAUUUGAUACUUUGGGAGGAUCUUUGGUUAUACAUUAAUUAGAGUCUAUGAAACUUUCGUAUGGUUUUCUGUAUAAUAUGUAUGGAUCGAGUGGUUAAAGGGGCAAGUAAUGGAUAUUUGUGAAAAGCAAAAAAUAA